rnacentral:lncRNA from 1 species
AGGCACUUUUAUUUAGCUGCCUUUUAACGGUUCAAUCUUUCUGCUCCAAUUUAGGUCCAUGAAAGAUCAAAUUGUGCACAUGAGUCACCAUGAAGAACUGAGUCAACUUCUCAAAAAUGUUGAUUCUCAAAUCUCAAAAUUUUUAAGUCAAAAACCAGCUGAUUCUGAAGCCUGCCAAGAUCAACUGCUGAAAGUAAAGGUUUGUGGUCAUUUACCAUUAACAGGUUAAAUGCAUAGCAAUAAUGCCUAUGGAGAUCUUAAGAUGAUUUGGGAAAGCAGUGAAAAAUUGCUUUUGCUUCCCUUUUGACUUCUGAAAAUCUGUUUUUUUAUGGUUCCCUUUGCCACUUUUCAUCUCAUAACAAUGCAAGUAUGCUAGAUUAGCAUGCACCGAAAUAGUCUUCAUCUGCAGGUGCUCCAGACAGAGCUGAAGAACCUCUCUAAAAAGCUGGAGGAACUGAGGGAAAGCUGCCCAGGUCUUCGCUGCAAAGCACCCGUGGAUCUGAUGCUGGGACAACUGUGGAGGUCUUGGGCAGUGCUGCAGUGCAGAGUGGAAUCUCUCAAAGCUAGCAUGUCUCAUAAAGAAGCAGAGUGGAGAGACUUUGUGAUACGCCUGAAUAAAUCAAAGGAAGGUCUUGACAGACUGCAGAAUGAUCUCCCAGACUCGUCUACGGUGAUGGGAUCCCUGGUGGAUCUUCAGGGUGUUCUGAGCCUCACUGAGCGCCUUCAGGAUGGGACUGAGCAGGAGCAUCACACUUUAGUAUCUCUACAACACCAUGUGGCACGAUUGCUUGGGGUCUCAAAUUUGCAGCAGCUGAAAGUGUGUCCUCAAAUCUGUCAGGACUUGCAGUCUCUACAGGGUCACUGCAGAAGGUUUGACUUGUACACACAUGCACAAAAACACACAAGUUGGGAAAAUGUUCAGAAUCUACAUUUACAGACAUUUUCUUGCUUAGUCUAAGAGAUCAGAGCAAUAACAUCCGCCGGGAAGUGCUUUUUGAGAUACAGGAGUUGGGUCGUGUGCAGGAGGAGCUGAAUGCCAUUCAGCAGAAUGUUCUCUCUCUUUUAACGGCUUUACAGUCGGAGCCAGCUGCUCAACACUUACAGGUUGGUGCCUGUGUUUGACAGGCAGGCUGUCUUUUUCUGCAGUCCUUGGUGUUGAUAUUGUGUUGUAUUGCACUGUAGGAAGUCAAAGUGGAAUUGGUUUCACAGAAGGCUCGACUGCACGAUGUCAUGGACAGAGUGCAGAAGAAAUGGAGCUGUGUACCUGCAGAGAUUCAGAUCUUACACAAUGAGCUCAACGUCUCCAUGCAGGAGGCCAAAGACAAAGUAUUCACUUAAUUUAUUUUUAUAAUAAAUGCCUUGAACAUGUAAAAUAACAUUUGUGUUUA